GAAAACAAAAAAUCAUGGCGGUAUCUUAAGCUUUUCAGAGGAAUUUGCUCUUUUAUGGAUAAAACACCCAAAUCUUACUGAAAUUGGUUAAGACAGUUUGUAUACCACUAUUUAAGUAAUUAUUAAUUAUAAUUACUGUAAAUUUUAAACAAAAAAAAAGUUAAGUCAAGGUGCAGCUUAAAUUUUAGGAUGAAGUGAAUUACAAUGCUUUUUAGAAAAGUGAUUAAAAAAAAUUAGGAUUUGAAAGUAAAAAUUUUAAUAGAAUGAUUAUUUGAAUUAAGCUCUGAGAUAUGUA
rnacentral:rRNA from 1 species